ensembl:lncRNA
GGCUUCCAUCAAUCAACUAUGCUGAUCUAAUUUAGUUGGAUGUUUCUUACUCACAUUGACACAAUCAGUUAACUAUCACAGAAGGACGGGUGCUACAUGAUCUCCUUCAUACAGAGGCUAAAAAGAUGUAGAGAGAGAGAAGUAGGGAGAAUAGUGGUCAUCAGACGUUAGGAAGGGCUAUUUUCCUCCCUCUGCUUCCUGGCAGCCAUGAAGUGAGCAGCUUUUCUCUGCCAUGCCUUUCUCCCACAAUGUUUCUGCCUUAGAACCAACUGAAUAUGGACUGAAACCUCUGAAACUGUGAGCCAAAAUACACCUCUCCUUUUUUUGUUGUAUAUGUUAGGUUAUUUUUCCCCCCAGCAAUAGAAAGGUGACUAAUACAUAAGGUAACUUAAUUUACAACAAUUUAUUAUAUAUUUCAAAAUCACUCAGAGGAGUUUGAGUUUGAAGUUUCUCAACACAAAGAAAUGAUAAAUAUGUGAGGAGUGGAAAAUGCUAAUUACCCUGAUCUUAUCAUUUACACACCAUAUACAUGUAUCAAAUUAUUGUACUCUACUUCCAAAAUAUGUACAAUUAUUAUAUGUAAGUUAAAAAUAACACUGUUUUUGUCAUUUUUGAGACAGGGCCUUGAUAUUUUUGAGACAGGGCCUUUGAGACAGUUCCAAACUGGCCUGGAACUUGUGGUGAUCAUCCUGCCUCAGCCUCCUGAAUGGUUUAAUGAACAUAAAGAGUUGGGUGAGGAUGCAGUCAGCACUUGAGGUAGUUCACACACAUGACAGUGGGAGUUGGAAAAUUACCCCUUGAGCCUCUGUUCAGUCCAAG